rnacentral:misc_RNA from 1 species
CUUCUUUUCAGCGACACGGCGCAGCAAUUAAGACCCGAAUUACAACGAAAGGCAGCUGGCAGAAGAUUAUGAGGGGGGGGGCUCGGCAGAAAUCCAUCACCUCUCCUGUCCGGCAUCGGUGACUUGCACAUCAGCCUUGACUCAGCGGAGUGUGACUCAGUACAUCUUCUUUUUGCUCAUGGCUUUCGCAUCCGCUUAUAAGUGGGCUCGCAGCUGUUUCUCCAGCAAACGCGACACUGCUUGAUUUUCUGUCACUUACGCCAGGACACCGAGAAGUCUUGCACCUGUCCCUGGCAAGCCACCCGUGUGCUACUCGGCCUUUGCUCCACGAAUGCCGUACUUGUGGGGCGUCAUGGGCAAGCACAACCUUCCUGUAAAGGCCGUAUUGAUGUGGAGGCCAUCGAUGUCGAAAGAGAUAGCAAGUGCCUUCUCAGGCGUCGACAUCGACUCAGUUUUUCGGCACAACAUGAAAACCAAAAGCGCUUCUCCUAGGAUUUCAAGACGCACCUGGCAGCAGAACGGGGGCAACUUUUAGAAAAGUUUCCCUCUUCACAAACUUUUUUUUUCUUGUUCUCAUGCCGGUAACUAUCUUCUUGUGUGUCUUGUGUAACAUUAUCCCUCCUACAUGCCUGAGAAUAGCUGCUUCUGCUGAGCUCCCGCUCUUAACUUCUUCCGUAGAGCAAGAGUGGCAAUGGCAGCAUGUGAAAGUAAUCAUAAUAAACAUGGAAGCAUACCAAUGAGAGCCUUUGACAAUUUAUCUGUGUCCUGUAGCUUCCACCUCAAUAGAAAGGGGGAAAAAGAGGCACACCAGCGUAAACCUGUUUUGGUUUCAACACUUUCUCUCUCUUGAUCUCGAAUCCACUAGCGACAGCAGUAUAAAGGUCAUAAUGAAAAAAAAGAAGGAGAGCACUUGCAUGUUGGAUUGUUGCCUGCUUACCCAACCAAGCUUAACCGGUAAACUCAUCAUGCACGUGACACUUCCUGCCUGAGAGAAGGAAGAACACGAAGUACAGUCUCUGUUUACAAUGCAAAGCAAUCAGACUCCGUCGCCUAGCCGCUAUUUGAUACACCACACGACUUCAUUCAUUCUGCCUUUACGCCUUUCCGCACUGAUAUAUAUAUAUAUAUAUAUAUAUAUAUAUAUAUAUAUAAUUUUUCUCCCUCCUCUUCCUUGGUUGCGCAAUUAUUUUGGCAG